CGUGAACGCUGGCGGUAGGCCUAACACACGCAAGUCGAAUGGCAGCACAGUAAGAGCUUGCUCUUAUGCGUGGCGAGUGGCAGACGGGGGAUGAAUACAUCGGAAUCUACUUUUUCGUUGGUGAUAACUUAGGGAAACUUACGGUAAUAACACAUACGGCCUACGGGUGAAAGCAGUUGGUUUUCGGACCUUGCACGAUAGAAUGAGGCGAUGUCGGAUUACUUAGUUGGCGUAGUAAAGGCCCACCAAGGCGACGAACCCUAGCGGGUCUGCUAGGAUGAUCAGCUACACUGUGACUGCAACUCGGUUCAGAGUGCUACGGGAGGAAGCAGUGGGGAAUACUGGACAAUGGGUGCAAGACGGAUCCAGCAAUACCGCGUGGGUGAAGAAGGCCUUCGGGUUGUAAAGCCCUUUUGUCGGGAAAGAAAAGCAGCAGCUUAACACCCCGCUGUUCUGACGGUAACCAAAGAAUAAACAACGGCUAACUUCGUG
rnacentral:rRNA from 1 species